UACAGAGGUCUCAAGCGUUGUUCGGAAUCACUGGGCGUAAAGGGUGCGUAGGCCGCACCGGUAAGUCAGAGGUGAAAUCCCGGAGCUCAACUCCGGAAUUGCCUCCGAUACUGCCGUGCUUGAGGACUGGAGAGGAGAUUGGAAUUCACAGUGGAGCAGUGAAAUGCGUAGAUAUUGUGAGGAACACUAGUGGCGAAGGCGAAUCUCUGGACAGUUCCUGACGCUGAGGCACGAAGGCCAGGGGAGCAAACGGG
rnacentral:rRNA from 1 species